rnacentral:rRNA from 2 species
GUCUGUUCGACUUUUAAACAAUUACAUGAAUUGAGUUCAGACCGGUGUAAACCAGGUCGGUUUCUAUCUUUUCUUUUAAUUUUUACAGUACGAAAGGGCCUAAAAAUAUAAUAUAAUUAAUUAU